UUUAAAGAUUUGGUACUCACGGUGGCACAAACUAAAAGUUUGGACAAAGUCUGCUAAUAAACGAAAGGUUUGGUACCUUGACUACAAUUUUCCCUAAAUAAUUCUUGUAUUUCACAUCAGACUAUAAUUUUGAGUCCCAUGAAUUGCACCAGUAACAAAAUCGACUUUUACUUAAAUUUAUAAUGUAAUGUGGUCCUAACUGAACAAAAAAAUGCAACUCAGGCAUUUUUGGGUACUCAUUCAUUGAACAUUUUUUUUAUUUUCUGAAAAUAGGCAUGUUUCUAUUUGGUGUCCUAAUGUUUCCAGCAAUUGAGGCAUGUCCACUGUAUUGCUAUGACAUAGAAUCCAUGACUUGCAACGGCACAAAAGUCAAUCCACCGAGUUGCAACUAUUGCCUGGCCGGAAAGGGCUGCACCCUUCACCUUGCCAAUGGAGUGUCAAUAUAUUGUUAACUAGUAAAUGAAAGUUUUCAGGCUUGCUAAUGUUGUGGCUUAAGUAGCUUGCCUAAAUAAUCAAAAUAUUUCUGAAAUUGUGUAGAAUCUUAUGUACUACAAUGUAUUGAAUAAGUUGGGUCAAUAAAGUCUAUUUAAGUUACAAGAAGUUUUGUUUAUUCAUAUUUGCAUAAUCCUAAAAAAAUGUUAAAGUACUAUCUGGAAGGAAAAUGAAGAUUUGCUCUUGAAAAAGUAGAACUUUGAACUAAAAAGUUACUUUUACAUUUUUCUAGCAAGAAAGGGUGGGGAAUUGCUAUAAAGAAAAAAAACUGAGGACGUAGUUGUUCUCUUUUAAUAUGUUGGAUCCCAUCAGUAAUUUUCUCCUCCAAAAAUCAUAGACAAAUUUAAAAUUGUCAAAGUGGAAAAUAGUAAAAUAAAAUAAAAAAAAUAACCAAGUCCAUUGUGGUGUGAACUUACUUCGUUUAUGCUGCAGCCUUGUAGAAUUACUGUUGGAAUUUAUUUGUUGUUCAAAAUCAAGAAAAAAAUUGAUUAACCAUGCGACCGCAUGGAUUAAGCUCAUGCGAUCGCAUGAGGCCAUCCCGAGAAUGGGAGGGCCGGCGAAGCUAUAACCAUGCGACCGCAUGGCUAUUAAUGACUAACCGUUGAGUUAGUUUUUUGACCGUUUUUCAUUUAAAUUUGGUGACUUUUUACCUGUUUCUUGCACCAUUUCGUGGGAACUUGUCAAGGCCUAUAAAUAAAUUAUCCAAGUGCAAGAAAAUUCGUUGAGUUCCAUUAAAAUUUAUCCCCAAAUUAUACUUCCAAAAUAGAGAAAAAAAAACUAUCACAUAAUCCUUCCAAUUUUCACUUGUUCAUUGUGAAGAUACACCUUUGCUUUUUGGUGUUCUUUUUAUCAAGCCUUGUUUAAUUUUACAAACUAUUUGCCGGUAAUCCUUAAAAAGCAUUGGAAAGGAUGCAAAUAACGUUUGAGGAAGCGAGAUUAAUUUUGUGUUAAAGCCUUCAAUGAUAUACAUUUAUAUUAUUCUCUUCUUUGCAUUUUAUUUUUUCUUCUCCAUUGCCAUUAUUUUCUCAACAAUCUCAAACGAUAUUUGAUUACUAUUACUGCGAUGGAGACAGAAUCUACACUUGCUAUUAUCAAAAUGAUGAAUCAAGAUCUGAAAUUCUGGUCAUACACUAUGGAAACACAUUCACAAUA
rnacentral:lncRNA from 1 species